ACCUCCCACCCGUGUUUAUUUUACCUUGUUGCUUCGGCGGGCCCGCCUUAACUGGCCGCCGGGGGGCUCACGCCCCCGGGCCCGCGCCCGCCGAAGACACCCUCGAACUCUGUCUGAAGAUUGAAGUCUGAGUGAAAAUAUAAAUUAUUUAAAACUUUCAACAACGGAUCUCUUGGUUCCGGCAUCGAUGAAGAACGCAGCGAAAUGCGAUACGUAAUGUGAAUUGCAAAUUCAGUGAAUCAUCGAGUCUUUGAACGCACAUUGCGCCCCCUGGUAUUCCGGGGGGCAUGCCUGUCCGAGCGUCAUUGCUGCCCUCAAGCCCGGCUUGUGUGUUGGGCCCCGUCCUCCGAUUUCCGGGGGACGGGCCCGAAAGGCAGCGGCGGCACCGCGUCCGGUCCUCGAGCGUAUGGGGCUUUGUCACCCGCUCUGUAGGCCCGGCCGGCGCUUGCCGAUCAACCCAAAUUUUUAUCCAGGUUGACCUCGGAUCAGGUAGGGAUACCCGCUGAACUUAAGCAUAUCAAUAAG
rnacentral:rRNA from 1 species